GUGACAAGCUUGGGCUCUGAAAUCAGACAGCCCCAAGUUUGAAACCU
ensembl:miRNA